rnacentral:rRNA from 2 species
ACAGGGAUUGCCCUAGUAACGGCGAGUGAAGCGGCAACAGCUCAAAUUUGAAAUCUGGCUCUUUUAGAGUCCGAGUUGUAAUUUGCAGAGGGCGCUUUGGCUUUGGCAGCGGUCCAAGUUCCUUGGAACAGGACGUCACAGAGGGUGAGAAUCCCGUACGUGGUCGCUGGCUAUUGCCGUGUAAAGCCCCUUCGACGAGUCGAGUUGUUUGGGAAUGCAGCUCUAAAUGGGAGGUACAUUUCUUCUAAAGCUAAAUAUUGGCCAGAGACCGAUAGCGCACAAGUAGAGUGAUCGAAAGAUGAAAAGCACUUUGGAAAGAGAGUCAAACAGCACGUGAAAUUGUUGAAAGGGAAGCGCUUGCAGCCAGACUUGCUUGCAGUUGCUCAUCCGGGCUUUUGCCCGGUGCACUCUUCUGUAGGCAGGCCAGCAUCAGUUCGGGCGGUAGGAUAAAGGUCUCUGUCACGUACCUCCUUUCGGGGAGGCCUUAUAGGGGAGACGACAUACUACCAGCCUGGACUGAGGUCCGCGCAUCUGCUAGGAUGCUGGCGUAAUGGCUGUAAGCGGCCCGUCUUGAAACACGGACCAAGGAGUCUAACAUCUAUGCGAGUGUUUGGGUGUCAAGCCCGAGCGCGUAAUGAAAGUGAACGGAGGUGGGAACCCGCAAGGGUGCACCAUCGACCGAUCCUGAUGUCUUCGGAAGGAUUUGAGUAAGAGCAUGGCUGUUGGGACCCGAAAGAUGGUGAACUAUGCUUGAAUAGGGUGAAGCCAGAGGAAACUCUGGUGGAGGCUCGCAGCGGUUCUGACGUGCAAAUCGAUCGUCAAAUUUGGGCAUAGGGGCGAAAGACUAAU